rnacentral:other from 1 species
CAUCCCCUGCGUGGUUCGUGAUGGGUUCUACGCUUGUAGAACCAACAUUCAUUCCACGGGAGUCUUUUACUCGUGUGGCCCGUGCCAGCCUCGCAUCGACGAGGACGCUAACGGCUCACGAAGCGGACACCCACCUGGCGCGUUUCAGGUUCUAAACGCACGGCCCACACGGCCGCGUGGGGGAUGC